rnacentral:rRNA from 1 species
AUGGAGAAUGGAAAGAUUUCAGCCGGUACCGGGUUGCAUCAAGAAUCUAACAUAACAAGACCAGGAGAUACUCGUUGGGGCUCACACCUCAAAACCUUGCUUCGUAUAUUCACAAUGUGGAAUGCUGUGGUGGAUGUGCUAGGAAUUGUUGUGGCUGAUGCUCGGGAACACACAUGCCAAGGUGGAGCUAGAGGUUUGCUUAAAAACAUGGAAUGCUUUGAAUUUGUGUUAAUCAUGUUCUUCUUAAUAAACUUGUUGAGCAACACAAAUCAACUAUCCCAAGCUUUGCAAAGGAAGAAUCAAAAUAUUGUUGAGGCCAUGCGUUUGAUCUUGGAUGUGAAAGAAAGCUUGCAAGACAUGAGGGACAAUGGUUGGGAGCCUUUAUUUUGCCAAGCCAAGAACUUUUGUGAAACACAUGAUAUUGAUGUGCCAAACAUGGAUGAUCUUGUUGGAACAAUGGGCCAGUCUGUUCGCACUAAGAAUAAGGUGACUCGGCUUCACUAUUACAAGGUUAGCAUAUUCAAUGUUGCCAUUGAUGCAACUAUCACCGAGAUGAAUCACUGA